rnacentral:rRNA from 1 species
AGUGAACGCUGGCGGUAGGCCUAACACAUGCAAGUCGAACGGCAGCACAGUAAGAGCUUGCUCUUACGGGUGGCGAGUGGCGGACGGGUGAGGAAUACAUCGGAAUCUACUUUUUCGUGGGGGAUAACGUAGGGAAACUUACGCUAAUACCGCAUACGACCUACGGGUGAAAGCAGGGGAUCUUCGGACCUUGCGCGAUUGAAUGAGCCGAUGUCGGAUUAGCUAGUUGGCGGGGUAAAGGCCCACCAAGGCGACGAUCCGUAGCUGGUCUGAGAGGAUGAUCAGCCACACUGGAACUGAGACACGGUCCAGACUCCUACGGGAGGCAGCAGUGGGGAAUAUUGGACAAUGGGCGCAAGCCUGAUCCAGCCAUACCGCGUGGGUGACGAAGGCCUUCGGGUUGUAAAGCCCUUUUGUUGGGAAAGAAAAGCAGCAGGUUAAUACCCCGCUGUUCUGACGGUACCCAAAGAAUAAGCACCGGUUAACUUCGUG